rnacentral:lncRNA from 1 species
UGAGCUCGAGCCGUGAACGAGUCGCUUAAUCAAUAGUUUAAUUUGAUACUAAAACAUAUCUAAUAGUUCAAAAUACAAAAUAAUUAUAUGAAAUAAGGUACUAUAAUAUAAAGAAAAAUAACUUAUGAGUUGAAUAUCUAAUCUUUUCAGCCUUGUACGAACUUAUGAGUUGAGUAACUUAUGAUUAGAAAUAACGAAAAUAGUUGAUCCAAAGACUAAAAAACUAGUAGCAAUAAUGGAAUUUUGCUACUAAUAGUAGCCCAGUCCAACUAUAUACAUAUAUAUAUAUACUACUUAUGAAAGCGUGAGUUUUAAAUUUUUUUCUCUUUUCAAAAAUGCCUCUACCCUUUUUAUUAAUAUUUUCAUGUCCAGUAAUUUUUAACGAAUCAUUUCAAAUAAUUCACUAAAUAAUAAUUUAUUCUUAAAUAAAGAUAUUAAUUUUUUGUCAUUAGAUUUUAUCUAACGAUUGAAAAUAAAAGUAUCUGUCAUUUUUUUUUUGAUAAUAAUAUCCUCCAUAUCCGUUAUCUCCUAUCUACGCAUUUCUCAAAUAUUUUUUUCCUACCCGCCAAUCAUGUAAUACGUAAAAUUAAAUUUAUAAUGCAGUACCUGCCAAUCAUAUAAUACGUAAAAUUAAAUUCGUAAUAUCCACCAAUCACGUAAUAUGUAUAAUUAAAUUAUCUCAUAUCCACGUGUUUUCUCAAAUAUUUUUUCUUUCUCAAACGUAAUACUCGCUAAUACUCAAAUUAAAUUUAAAUUUGUAAUGUCCGCCAAAAUUUAAUAUCCGUAAAUUUGAUAAUUUAAAUUUUAAUUCAUGAUAUUAGAUUUUCUUAUGUAAGAUGAUAGAUUCAAUUUUAACGAGUAUUAAAAUUUGGCGCACCAUAAAAGUGUUACAUAUUGCUAAAAAAAUUUUAAUAUCCAUCCAAUCAAAACUAAAUCGUUAAUUAAAUAUAAUUUUAAAUAUUUUUAGUAAAAUAUUUAAUAUUUAAAUAAUGCGCCAUAAAAGCGUAGAAUAUUUCUAAAAAAAAUUUAAUACCCACCCAAUCAAAACUAAAUCAUUAAUUAAAUAUAAUUUUAAAUUUUUUUAGCAAACUAUUCAAUAUUUAAGUAAGACCUGCUAAAAUAUUCUACGCAUUUCUCAAAUAUAGAGCAUAUCUUAAUACCUCAUAUAUAAUAUUUACAAUAUAUAAUCUUAUCUCAUAAUAAUACUUAUCACAUAAUAGCUGUAAAAAUAUUUUAGAAUUUUUUAAUUAUUGAGCAUAUCUUAAUAUCUUCACGUAUAAUAUCUACAGUAUCCAAUUUUAUCUCAUCAUAAUACUUAUCACGUAAUAUGUAAAGCAUAUCUUUUUCUGGUAGUAUAUUUUUUGAUAUUUUCUUAUUUUCAUCUAUACGUUUCUCAAAUAUAAAGCAUAUAUAUUUUUAGUAAUAUUUUUUUUUUCUUUUCAAUUAUAUUUUUCUCAAAUAUUUUUAAAUAUUUUUUUUAAUAAUAUUCUUUUUCAUUUGUCUUCAUUGUCGGCAGGUACAUCAUGAUCGUCCUCGUCAUCGUCAUCAUCAUCAUCGUCGCCAGCACAUUGUCGCCUUCGUUACUUUCGCCACUAUUGCAUCGCCUGCACAUUGUCGCCUUCGCUACUUUUGCCACAAUUAGAGAGGUAUUUUGAUCUCAUCUAAAUAUUUCUCUCUUUUUUAAUGUGCUUUUAUACUGUUUUAACAUACCUUAUUUUAAUAUUUUCUCAUUUUCACCUAUAUAUUUUCAAAUAUAAAACAUAUAUUUUUUUAAUAAUAUUUUUUUUUUUAUUUUCACCUAUAUCUACAGCAUCUUAUCUUAUCAUAAUAUUUAUCACAUAAUAUAUAGAGCAUAUCUUUUUUUGAUAGUAUACCUUUUGGUAUUUUCUUAUUUUCACCUACACAUUUCUCAAAUAUAAAUUUUAUAUUUUUUUACUAAUAUUUUUUUUUAUUUUUACCUAUGUUUUUCUCAAAUAUUUUUAAAUAUUUUUUUAAUAAUAUUCUUUCUUAUUUGUCACCGUUGUCAAAAAAUACAUCGUGAUCGUUCUCCUCAUUAUCAUCAUCAUUGUCACCGGUACAUUGUCGUCUUCGCUAUCUUCGCCACAACUGGAAAGAUAUUUUGAUCUCAUCUAAAUAUUUCUCUUUUUUUUAAUGUGUCUUUAUACUGUUUUAGCAUAUCUUAUUUUAGUAUUUUCUCAUUUUUACCUAUAUAUUUCUUAAAUAUAAAGCAUAUAUUUUUUUAAUAAUAUCUUUUAUCAUUUUUACCUAUAUUUUUUUUGAAUAUUCUCAAAAUUGUCAUCGUCCUCCUCAUCGUCAUCAUCAUCU